UUUCCGUAGGUGAACCUGCGGAAGGAUCAUUAUUGGAUUUUGAAACUUCAGGCUGCUGCUGGCUCUCCUCGGAGGGCAUGUGCACGCUUGUUGUCCAUUAUUUCUCCCACUGUGCACAAAUUGUAGACCUUUCAGUAGGCCUAUGUUGUUUUUCACAAUCACUGAAUGUAAUAGAAUGGUUUUGAAUCUUGGGAAAUACAAUACAACUUUCAGCAACGGAUCUCUUGGCUCUC
rnacentral:misc_RNA from 1 species